AAGAUCAUACUUCACAGGAUCAUUUCUAUAGGUACGAUCGCCCAUUCUCUAUCCAAGAGAUGGAACACCCGAAACCAUGAGGACGAGUCAUAGUGUUUCCUCUUGAGCGUGAAACCGCGUUGUUUUCCAAUUUAUUGGCUGAACUUCGCAUUGAUGAUCGCUCUUAAUGACCUAUGGGUUGUUUAGAGGGAGGAAACGCAUUCUGAAUGGU
rnacentral:snoRNA from 1 species